GUGGGGAAUCUUGCGCAAUGGGCGAAAGCCUGACGCAGCCAUGCCGCGUGAAUGAUGAAGGUCUUAGGAUUGUAAAAUUCUUUCACCGGGGACGAUAAUGACGGUACCCGGAGAAGAAGCUCCGGCUAACUUCGUGCCAGCAGCCGCGGUAAUACGAAGGGGGCUAGCGUUGCUCGGAAUUACUGGGCGUAAAGGGCGCGUAGGCGGACAGCUUAGUCAGAGGUGAAAGCCCAGGGCUCAACCUUGGAAUUGCCUUUGAUACUGGCUGUCUUGAAUUUGGGAGAGGUGAGUGGAACUCCGAGUGUAGAGGUGAAAUUCGUAGAUAUUCGGAAGAACACCAGUGGCGAAGGCGACUCACUGGCCCAAUACUGACGCUGAGGCGCGAAAGCGUGGGGAGCAAACAGGAUUAGAUACCCGGGUAGUCC
rnacentral:rRNA from 1 species